UUCGGGCCUUGGUAGCGCAGCUAACGCGUGAAGUUGACCGCCUGGGGAGUACGGUCGCAAGAUUAAAACUCAAAGGAAUUGACGGGGACCCGCACAAGCGGUGGAUGAUGUGGAUUAAUUCGAUGCAACGCGAAAAACCUUACCUACCCUUGACAUGUCUGGAAUGCCGAAGAGAUUUGGCAGUGCUCGCAAGAGAACCGGAACACAGGUGCUGCAUGGCUGUCGUCAGCUCGUGUCGUGAGAUGUUGGGUUAAGUCCCGCAACGAGCGCAACCCUUGUCAUUAGUUGCUACGAAAGGGCACUCUAAUGAGACUGCCGGUGACAAACCGGAGGAAGGUGGGGAUGACGUCAAGUCCUCAUGGCCCUUAUGGGUAGGGCUUCACACGUCAUACAAUGGUCGGGACAGAGGGUCGCCAACCCGCGAGGGGGAGCCAAUCCCAGAAACCCGAUCGUAGUCCGGAUCGCAGUCUGCAACUCGACUGCGUGAAGUCGGAAUCGCUAGUAAUCGCGGAUCAGCAUGUC
rnacentral:rRNA from 1 species